rnacentral:lncRNA from 1 species
AGAAGAAGACAUGGAUAAAACAUGUAGAUGCAAAUCAAGCACUGCAAUCACUGCUGAUAAACGUUUGUCCGAUUGAUCCUAGAAGAUUCGUCUGUUUACUUGUAGAGCUCCUUGAAUCUUCUACAGGCCUCGACAACGUUUUCCCUGUGUCCGAAAGCACUGACCCUGACAAAGCCUUCGCCUCCAGGUCCAAAACCACUUCCGGGAGUGGUGACGACAUGGGUCUUCUCCAGAAUCUCACUGAACACAUCCCACGAGCUACGGCCAGGAAAGUGGACCCAAACAUAUGGUGCAUUUUUGCCUCCAUAAACCUUGAACCCAAG